UUAAGUGACUAAGCGUACACGGUGGAUGCCUAGGCAGUCAGAGGCGAUGAAGGACGUGCCGAAAAGCGCCGGUAAGCUGAUAUGAAGCGUUAUCAGCCGGCGAUGUCCGAAUGGGGAAACCCGGUGCAACUCGUUGCAUCAUCGUUAAGUGAAUAAAUAGCUGAACGAGGCGAACUAGGGGAACUGAAACAUCUCAGUACCCUGAGGAAAAGAAAUCAACCGAGAUUCCCCCAGUAGCGGCGAGCGAACGGGGAAUAGCCCAGAGCUAUCAUCAGCUUGCGCAUCAGGAGAACGGUCUGGAAAGUCCGGCGACAGAGGGUGAUAGCCCCGUAUCCGAAGGUGUGCUGGUUGUGACCUCGAUGAAUAGGGCGGGACACGUGAUAUCCUGUCUGAAGAUGGGGGGACCAUCCUCCAAGGCUAAAUACUCCUGACUGACCGAUAGUGAACCAGUACCGUGAGGGAAAGGCGAAAAGAACCCCGGCAUAGGGGAGUGAAAUAGAACCUAAAACCGUGUACGUACAAGCAGUGGGAGCAUCCUUCGGUGUGUAACUGCGUACCUUUUGUAUAAUGGGUCAGCGACUUAUAUUCUGUAGCAAGGUUAACCGUAUAGGGGAGCCGUAGGGAAACCGAGUCUUAACUGGGCGUCUAGUUGCAGGGUAUAGACCCGAAACCCGGUGAUCUAGCCAUGAGCAGGUUGAAGGUUAGGUAACACUAACUGGAGGACCGAACCGACUAAUGUUGAAAAAUUAGCGGAUGACUUGUGGCUGGGGGUGAAAGGCCAAUCAAACCGGGAGAUAGCUGGUUCUCCCCGAAAGCUAUUUAGGUAGCGCCUCGUGAAGUCAUCUAGGGGGGUAGAGCACUGUUUCGGCUAGGGGUCCAUCCCGGAUUACCAACCCGAUGCAAACUGCGAAUACCGUAGAAUGUUAUCACGGGAGACACACGGCGGGUGCUAACGUCCGUCGUGAAGAGGGAAACAACCCAGACCGCCAGCUAAGGUCCCAAAGUCAUGGUUAAGUGGGAAACGAUGUGGGAAGGCCCAGACAGCCAGGAUGUUGGCUUAGAAGCAGCCAUCAUUUAAAGAAAGCGUAAUAGCUCACUGGUCGAGUCGGCCUGCGCGGAAGAUGUAACGGGGCUAAACCAUGCACCGAAGCUGCGGCAGCGACACGUAAGUGUUGUUGGGUAGGCGAGCGUUCUGUAAGCCUGCGAAGGUGGCCUGUAAGGGUCGCUGGAGGUAUCAGAAGUGCGAAUGCUGACAUAAGUAACGAUAAAGCGGGUGAAAAGCCCGCUCGCCGGAAGACUAAGGGUUCCUGUUCAACGUUAAUCGUAGCAGGGUAAGUCGACCCCUAAGGCGAGGCCGAAAGGCGUAGUCGAUGGAAAACAGGUCAAUAUUCCUGUACUAGGUGUGACUGCGAAGGGGGGACGGAGAAAGCUAGGUUCGCAGGGCGACGGUUGUCCCUGUUUAAGCGGGUAGGUGGAAAGAGCAGGCAAAUCCGCUCUUUCAUAACACUGAGGCGUGAUGACGAGCCACCACGGUGGUGAAGGAAUUGAUGCUAUGCUUCCAAGAAAAGCCUCUAAGCGCCAAGUCACAUCGAAUCGUACCCCAAACCGACACAGGUGGUCAGGUAGAGAAUACCCAGGCGCUUGAGAGAACUCGGGUGAAGGAACUAGGCAAAAUGGUGCCGUAACUUCGGGAGAAGGCACGCUGGCAUGUAGGUAGAGGGACUUGCUCCCCGAGCUGAAGCCAGUCACAGAUACCAGCUGGCUGCAACUGUUUAUUAAAAACAUAGCACUGUGCAAACACAAAAGUGGACGUAUACGGUGUGACGCCUGCCCGGUGCCGGAAGGUUAAUUGAUGGGGUUAACCGUAAGGAGAAGCUCUUGAUCGAAGCCCCGGUAAACGGCGGCCGUAACUAUAACGGUCCUAAGGUAGCGAAAUUCCUUGUCGGGUAAGUUCCGACCACGGCUGCAAGGUGAAAACUCAAAUGAAUCAACAAAGGCCCGCACAAGUGGCAAAGCAUGUGGUUAAUUCGAUGUAA
rnacentral:rRNA from 1 species